rnacentral:rRNA from 1 species
AUUGAACGCUGGCGGCAGGCCUAACACAUGCCAGUCGAACGGUAACAGGAAGAAGCUUGCUUCUUUGCUGACGAGUGGCGGACGGGUGAGUAAUGUCUGGGAAACUGCCUGAUGGAGGGGGAUAACUACUGGAAACGGUAGCUAAUACCGCAUAACGUCGCAAGACCAAAGGGGGGGACCUUCGGGCCUCUUGCCAUCGGAUGUGCCCAGAUGGGAUUAGCUAGUAGGUGGGGUAACGGCUCACCUAGGCGACGAUCCCUAGCUGGUCUGAGAGGAUGACCAGCCACACUGGAACUGAGACACGGUCCAGACUACUACGGGAGGCAGCAGUGGGGAAUAUUGCACAAUGGGCGCAAGCCUGAUGCAGCCAUGCCGCGUGUAUGAAGAAGGCCUUCGGGUUGUAAAGUACUUUCAGCGGGGAGGAAGGGAGUAAAGUUAAUACCUUUACUCAUUGACGUUACCCGCAGAAGAAGCACCGGCUAACUACGUG